AGUGAACGCUGGCGGCGUGCUUAACACAUGCAAGUCGAACGAGAACGGAAUAUAGCUUGCUAUAUUUGUCAGCUAAGUGGCGCACGGGUGAGUAAUGUAUAGAUAACCUGCCCUUAAGAAAGGAAUAACAGUUGGAAACGACUGCUAAUGCCCUAUAUGCCUUUAAUACCUAAGUAUGCAAGGGAAACGCUUUAGUGCUUAAGGAUGGGUCUGUAUGGUAUCAGCUUGUUGGUGAGGUAAUGGCUCACCAAGGCUAUGACGCCUAACUGGUUUGAGAGGACGAUCAGUCACACUGGAACUGAGACACGGUCCAGACUCCUACGGGAGGCAGCAGUGGGGAAUAUUGCACAAUGGACGAAAGUCUGAUGCAGCAACGCCGCGUGGAGGAUGACACAUUUCGGUGCGUAAACUCCUUUUAUAUAGGAAGAUAAUGACGGUACUAUAUGAAUAAGCACCGGCUAACUCCGUGCCAGCCGCCGCGGUAA
rnacentral:rRNA from 1 species